UGGGGAAUUGUUCGCAAUGGGCGCAAGCCUGACGACGCAACGCCGCGUGGAGGAUGAAGACCUUCGGGUCGUAAACUCCUUUCGACCAAGAUGAACACCUCUAGAUUUAAAAGAUCGAGAGGCUGACAGUAUUGGGAGAAGAAGCCCCGGCUAACUCCGUGCCAGCAGCCGCGGUAAUACGGGGGGGGCAAGCGUUGUUCGGAAUUACUGGGCGUAAAGGGUUUGUAGGUGGCCAACUAAGUCAGACGUGAAAUCCCUCAGCUUAACUGGGGAACUGCGUCUGAUACUGAUUGGCUUGAGUGCAGGAGAGGAAUGCGGAAUUCCAGGUGUAGCGGUGAAAUGCGUAGAUAUCUGGAGGAACACCGGUGGCGAAGGCGGCAUUCUGGACUGCAACUGACACUGAAGAACGAAAGCCAGGGGAGCAAACGG
rnacentral:rRNA from 1 species